GUACUAGUAGCUCAGUGGUUAGAGCACUGGACCUGGCUUGUCCAGAGGUCUCUGGUUCAAUCCCCAAUUUGGCCA